GUGCUCACUUCAGCUGCACAUACUGGAUUGGAAUAAACAGAGAAGAUUAGCAUGGCCCCUGUGCAAGGAUGACAUACCAAAUUCUUGGAGCAUUCCAUAUUGAA
rnacentral:snRNA from 1 species